UGCCAGCCGCCGCGGUAACACGGGGGGCGCAAGCGUUAUUCGGAAUUAUUGGGCGUAAAGGGCGCGCAGGCGGUUCGUUAAGUCUGAUGUGAAAGGCUACGGCUCAACCGUAGUAAGCUUUUGAAACUGUAGGGCUUGAGUGCAGGAGAGGAGAGUAGAAUUCCUAGUGUAGCGGUGAAAUGCGUAGAUAUUAGGAGGAAUACCAGUUGCGAAGGCGGCUCUCUGGACUGUAACUGACGCUGAGGCACGAAAGCGUGGGGAGCGAACAGGAUUAGAUA
rnacentral:rRNA from 1 species